rnacentral:lncRNA from 1 species
AGCAUAGUUCUACAAGGGAACUUCAAAAAACUUAAAAUACAAAAGUCAUGACAGUACAUUUGAAUUUACAUUUGUGCUGAACAAUCACAGAUUUCAGAACACCAGAGUCAAGAGAUGCAUGUAGUUCAGUGAAGCUGGCAGGAACGAGAACAAAACAAGGAGGACCAGUGAGGAGCCAGUGAGGCAAUUGUUGUCUCUAAUAUGGUAUGGAUCAUACAACACUGGAUUCUGAGGUAU